CAAUCAUUGGAAACCUCCACCAACUAGGCUUGCUCCCUCACCGCUCCCUCUGGGCCUUGGCUCAGCGCCAUGGCCCCAUUAUGCUGCUCCAUUUUGGCAAAGUUCCAGUGGUCAUCGUCUCAGCUGCAGACGCUGCAAGAGAGAUCAUGAAGACCAAUGAUGUCAUCUUUUUAAACAGACCUAAAUCGAGCAUCUUUGCGAAACUUCUCUAUGAUUACAAGGACGUUUCCAUGGCCCCCUAUGGAGAGUACUGGAGACAGAUGAGGAGUAUCUGUGUACUCCACCUUCUCAGCAACAGAAGGGUUCAGUCCUUCCGAGGAGUCCGCGAAGAAGAGACAGCCCUUCUGAUGGAGAAGAUCUCUUCCUCUUCUUCCUCCUCCACCCCAAUUGAUUUGAGCAAAAUGUUUCUGUCCCUAACAAAUGAUCUCAUAUGCAGAGUUGCCCUAGGAAGAAAAUACAGCGGAGAUGAAACUGGAAGAAAAUAUAGAGAACUGCUGAAGGAGUUUGUGGGGUUGCUGGGUGGCUUCGAUGUUGCCGACUACAUUCCAUGGCUGUCAUGGGUGAACUUCAUCAAUGGUUUGGAUGCAAAAGUGGAGAAAGUUGCUAAAGAGUUCGAUAGAUUUCUUGAUGAAGUGGUGAAAGAGCACGUGGAGAGAAGGAAAAGAGGUGUAGAUGAGGAAGUGAAGGAUUUUGUGGACGUUUUGCUUGGCAUUCAGGAGGAUAAUGUCACAGGCGUUGCCAUAACUGGAGUUUGCAUCAAAGCUCUUACUCUGGUAAGGAUGAUUAAUUAACCAUCAUGGACGAGCAAAGUUUGUUUGGCAAUCAAGAAAAAAAAAAAAAAAAAAAUCUUUCUGUCUUUCAUUAUAUAAAAAGGAGCAUCAUGAAUUUAACAUUAUAACUGGUAUUGUUGGACUUUGUGGAGUUGCUUUUUAUUAUUAUUAUUAUUUGUGUAUAUGUAUUGGUAUUUAUAAGAAUUUCCUAUUUUUCUUCGGUUGCAAGAAGAUUCAUCUACUUAAUUAUGCUAACAACCAUUUGCCAAGAUGAUAUAUCAUUAUAAUAGUACAGUGUGAUUUAUACAAAUUUAAGAUCAAUAAUAAUUUUUCCCAAAUUAUCAAAUUAACUUGAUAUUCAUUGUUCACCCAUUUCAGAAUUCGAAAUACCUGUCAAAAAGCUGCUACUUAAUGCAUUCUCCCUUCUUGUAGGACAUGUUUGCUGCUGGAAGUGACACUACAUACACAGUCUUGG
rnacentral:lncRNA from 1 species